CCUACGGGUGGCAGCAGUGGGGAAUAUUGGACAAUGGGCGAAAGCCUGAUCCAGCCAUGCCGCGUGUGUGAAGAAGGCCUUCGGGUUGUAAAGCACCUUCAGUGGGGAAGAAAGCCCUGGGGCUAAUACCCUCGAGGAAGGACAUCACCCACAGAAGAAGCACCGGCUAACUCCGUGCCAGCAGCCGCGGUAAUACGGAGGGUGCGAGCGUUAAUCGGAAUUACUGGGCGUAAAGCGCGCGUAGGCGGUCUGAUAAGCCGGUUGUGAAAGCCCCGGGCUCAACCUGGGAACGGCAUCCGGAACUGUCAGGCUAGAGUGCAGGAGAGGAAGGUAGAAUUCCCGGUGUAGCGGUGAAAUGCGUAGAGAUCGGGAGGAAUACCAGUGGCGAAGGCGGCCUUCUGGACUGACACUGACGCUGAGGUGCGAAAGCGUGGGUAGCAAACAGGAUUAGAUACCCUAGUAGUC
rnacentral:rRNA from 1 species